GACGAACGCUGGCGGCGUGCUUAACACAUGCAAGUCGAACGGAAAGGCCCUGCUUUUGUGGGGUGCUCGAGUGGCGAACGGGUGAGUAACACGUGAGUACCCUGUCCCUGACUUUGGGAUAUCUUCAGGAAACUGGGGCUCUUACCGCAUAGGAGCUCCUGCUGCAUGGUGGGCGUUGGAAAGUUUCGGCGGUUGGGGAUGUACUCGCGGCUUAUCAGCUCGUUGGGGGGGUAGUGGCUGACCAAGGCUAGGAGGGGUAGCCGGCCUACGAGGGUGACCGGGCACAUGAGGACUGAGAUAGGGCACAGACGCCUACGGUAGGCAGCAGUGGGGAAUAUUGCACAAUGGGCGGAAGCCAGAUGUAGCAACGCCGCGUGCGGGAAGACGGCCUUCGGGUUGUGAACCGCUGUCGCCUGAGCCGAGGCGUGAGUGACGGUAAUGGGUAAAGAAGCACCGGCUAACUACGUG
rnacentral:rRNA from 1 species